AUUGAACGCUGGCGGCAGGCCUAACACAUGCAAGUCGAGCGGGGUUUUCGGACCUAGCGGCGGACGGGUGAGUAAUGCUUAGGAAUCUGCCUAUUAGUGGGGGACAACAUUUCGAAAGGAAUGCUAAUACCGCAUACGACCUACGGGAGAAAGCAGGGGAUCUUCGGACCUUGCGCUAAUAGAUGAGCCUAAGUCGGAUUAGCUAGUUGGUGGGGUAAAGGCCUACCAAGGCGACGAUCUGUAGCGGGUCUGAGAGGAUGAUCCGCCACACUGGGACUGAGACACGGCCCAGACUCCUACGGGAGGCAGCAGUGGGGAAUAUUGGACAAUGGGCGCAAGCCUGAUCCAGCCAUGCCGCGUGUGUGAAGAAGGCCUUAUGGUUGUAAAGCACUUUAAGCGAGGAGGAGGCUACUUUAGAUAAUACCUAGAGAUAGUGGACGUUACUCGCGGAAUAAGCACCGGCUAACUCUGUGCCAGCAGCCGCCGUAAAAC
rnacentral:rRNA from 1 species